GUGGGUAUAGCUCAGUGGUAGAGCGCAUGCUUAACAUGCACGAGGUCCUAGGUUCAAUCCCCAGUACCUUCA
rnacentral:tRNA from 1 species